CCUGUAGGCAAACGGUAUACCGCCCCGCUCGCAGCGGGGAAUUCCGGGUCCGAUUCCCGGCAGGUCCA
rnacentral:tRNA from 1 species